rnacentral:tRNA from 1 species
GGCCGAGUGGUGAAAUUGGUAUACACGUACGUUUGAGGGGCGUAUGGCGCAAGCUGUGCGGGUUCAAGUCCCGCCUCGGUCA